rnacentral:rRNA from 1 species
UGCGUAGGCAGCAAGCGUUGUUCGGAAUUACUGGGCGUAAAGAGUGUGUAGGCGGUGCUCUAAGUUCGGUGUGAAAUCUCCCGGCUUAACUGGGAGGGUGCGCUAUAGACUGUGGGGCUAGAGUGUGGGAGAGGAAAGUGGAAUUCCUGGUGUAGCGGUGAAAUGCGUAGAUAUCAGGAGGAACACCGGUGGUGUAAACGGCUUUCUGGACCAUAACUGACGCUGAGGCACGAAAGCGUGGGUAGCAAACAGG